rnacentral:lncRNA from 1 species
GAGUGUCCAGGUCAGACCGCCACAGAAGAGUGCAGCCUCCUGCCCUUCAGACCCAACUGGGACAAACCCCGAGAACAGCCUUGGCAGACCUCCAGGGGCAGCUGGACUCCCUGAGGCUGGAUGUUGCAGCCUCUCCCAGGCAUCCACUCUGCAGCUGAGGCCAAAGUUUCCAACGGGAAGGGAGGAAAGUCUCCGAGUCUGGGCCUUGCCACUCCUCACUCAGCAUCUGACCAUCCCCACCUCCUGGAUCUACAGGGUUCA